rnacentral:lncRNA from 1 species
AUCUGGUCUUUGCCGCUACCCUCGUCAACAGCCUGAGCUGGAUACCUGGCUGACAAGUACCACCUUUUUCCUACACAGAUGACAACCCAGCCCAUAAGCACCAGGCCCAGGAAACUACCAUUCUACUCUCUGCUUCUAUGAGUUUGACUAUUUUAGAUUUCUCAUGAACUUCCAUACCAUUUCUGUAGUGAUCACACCAACUGAUAUUCCCACCAACAAUGCACAGGGGUUCUGAUUUCCCUACAUUUUUGGCAACACAAGCUAUCACUGUCUUCUUGAUAAUAACCAUUCUAACAGUGGCUCUCCCUGUGAGAGGAGUAUGCUUCUUGAUCACUGAAGGCUGACUAGGCGAUGCAGAAGGCUGCUUCUAACAAUUGAAUCUGAAAACUGAAUUAAUAUAGAGCCAAAGAAAAUACUACGACUCUGUCUUCACACUGCUCCUAAUGGCAUUGGCCACCAUCAGGCCAAGGGGGAUGUUCAGAACACCAGUAAAAUUGUAGACUCUGCUAAUAAAAAAAGAUAAAAUAGCUCAAAAUUAUGUCAUGUUUUAGUUGGCUUCAUAUAUUUUUUUAGUUAGCUUCAUAUUUUAAACAUAUUAUUGUUUUUGGUUUAUGUGUUUAUUUCCAAAAUUUCUGAUUAUCUUUUUUUCUUUGUGCUCUGUCCUUUUAUGAUAUCUCUAAGUCUCUCCAAGCUAACAAUUAUACUAGAGUGUCUGUCAAAUCGCUCCCACCAUCAAUAUCCCUCAGAAAAUGUCCUCCUGUAAUUUUCAGUGCUAUUUUUCCAAACUGGACUGAAUAUUGCUAUAAUAAGACGUUUGAUGACAUUUUUAUUUGUAUAGUCUAAAUUGUAUCUAAGUCCCAAAGCUAAAGACAAAAUAUCCUGUCGCUUAUAUUCUAAAUAGAAACCUAAAAAUAGCCAACUUUGGGUUGGCUUCCUUCAUGUCUGACCCCUAGAUCUUGCAAGGAACCAGCAAGCAACCUUCCUGUUAGGAACACUAGCAUCCCUCUUCCUCAUUCCUCAAUAUGCAUAAGAAGACUAGGGUAGGUAAAGGGGAUGACAGACAUUAGAGUAACCUGGGUUUUUGCUGCCAUUGUGAAAAACGUAAUUUUCUAGGUAAGUUGUUUUCUCUUCUUCUUCCAUAAGACAAGGAAAAGGAAAUUCUCAAUAUCUUCCAAGCCAAGUAAUAGGAAAGCCAAGAAAAUAACAUAAAUAUUUGAAAUGCUUACAAGAAGAGACAGACACCUUCCUUCCCUGAUAGAUAAAAUCCACAGAACUUGCAGUAACACCUGGUCAUAGGAGAUUAUGAGAGAGAUUCAUAUCUGUAACCUAUUGGGCAGGUAAUUAUUACUUUAGUGAAAAUCUCUUUCAUACAUACACACUCUGCCUCAUUAGUGAACAGUGUCACCUGAUCCUGAAAAGCGUGACUUCUCUCAUCCAUGAUGCUUUUUUUUUUGUUUUAUUCUCUCCCAUGCUCUCUCCUUUCUUCCCUCUUCUCCCCUCCCUCCAUCUCCUUCUCUUUCUUUCUUUCUUUUUUUUUUUUUGUUAAAGUUUUCGGCCUGUAAGCAUUCUUUCUUUUCUUUAAAAAAUUAAACUUUAAGUUCUAGGAUACAUGUUCAGAACGUGCAGGUUUGUUACAUAGGUAUACACGUGCCAUGGUGGUUUGCUGCACCCAUCAACCUAUCAUCUACAUUAGGUAUUUCUCCUAAUGCCAUCCAUCCCCCAGCCCCCCACCUCCCGACAGGUCCCAGUGUGUGAUGUUCCCCUCCCUGUGUCCAUGUGUUCUCAUUGUUCAAUGCCCACUUAUGAGUGAGAACAUGCGGUGUUUGGUUUUCUGUUCUUGUGUUAGUUUGCUGAGAAUGAUGGUGUCCAGCUUCAUCCAUGUGCCUGCAAAGGACAUGAAUUCUUCCUUUUUUAUGGCUGCAUAGUAUUCCAUGGUGUAUAUGUGUCACUUUUUUUUUUUUUAAUCCAGUCUAUCCUUGAUGGGCAUGUGGGUUGGUUCCAGGUCUUUAACACUUACCAUCAUCUCAGGAGAAAGGAGGAGAUUGGUGCAUGUUCUCUGUCCCCCAUUCUGAAAAUGGCACAUUUCCCCCUUAGUAUUUGGUGGUGCUUCUGUCAUCUGAUGUUUACUAAUAUUACAGUGUUUAUGUGUCAUUUACAAAAGAGGCAGUGUAAUCAUAAGAAAGAGCAUAGGAUUAGAAAUUUUGUAGACUUUGUUUAAAUUCUGGCUCUGUCACUUGUUGUCUAUAUGAUUUUGGGCAAAGUUAACUAUUUUCUUAUCUUUGACUUGUGAAUAAUGACAGCAAGAAUAACAGUGGCAACAAUAAUGAAAAAGUCAAUGACAAUGAUAUCAGCAUAUCAUUUGUUUUUCUCAUCAAUAGAUAUAUUACAUAAUUAAAACACCUGGUUCAGCUACUAAUUAAUUUAAUAAAUUUACAUUAAGUACUCA